UUUACAAUGAAGAGUUUGAUCCUGGCUCAGGAUGAACGCUAGCUACAGGCUUAACACAUGCAAGUCGAGGGGCAGCAUUUUAGUUUGCUUGCAAACUGAAGAUGGCGACCGGCGCACGGGUGAGUAACACGUAUCCAACCUGCCGAUAACUCCGGAAUAGCCUUUCGAAAGAAAGAUUAAUACCGGAUAGCAUACGAAUAUCGCAUGAUAUUUUUAUUAAAGAAUUUCGGUUAUCGAUGGGGAUGCGUUCCAUUAGUUUGUUGGCGGGGUAACGGCCCACCAAGACUACGAUGGAUAGGGGUUCUGAGAGGAAGGUCCCCCACAUUGGAACUGAGACACGGUCCAAACUCCUACGGGAGGCAGCAGUGAGGAAUAUUGGUCAAUGGGCGAGAGCCUGAACCAGCCAAGUAGCGUGAAGGAUGAAGGCUCUAUGGGUCGUAAACUUCUUUUAUAUGGGAAUAAAGUUUUCCACGUGUGGAAUUUUGUAUGUACCAUAUGAAUAAGGAUCGGCUAACUCCGUGCCAGCAGCCGCGGUAAUACGGAGGAUCCGAGCGUUAUCCGGAUUUAUUGGGUUUAAAGGGAGCGUAGGUGGAUUGUUAAGUCAGUUGUGAAAGUUUGCGGCUCAACCGUAAAAUUGCAGUUGAAACUGGCAGUCUUGAGUACAGUAGAGGUGGGCGGAAUUCGUGGUGUAGCGGUGAAAUGCUUAGAUAUCACGAAGAACUCCGAUUGCGAAGGCAGCUCACUAGACUGUCACUGACACUGAUGCUCGAAAGUGUGGGUAUCAAACAGGAUUAGAUACCCUGGUAGUCCACACAGUAAACGAUGAAUACUCGCUGUUUGCGAUAUACAGCAAGCGGCCAAGCGAAAGCAUUAAGUAUUCCACCUGGGGAGUACGCCGGCAACGGUGAAACUCAAAGGAAUUGACGGGGGCCCGCACAAGCGGAGGAACAUGUGGUUUAAUUCGAUGAUACGCGAGGAACCUUACCCGGGCUUAAAUUGCAACAGAAUAUAUUGGAAACAGUAUAGCCGUAAGGCUGUUGUGAAGGUGCUGCAUGGUUGUCGUCAGCUCGUGCCGUGAGGUGUCGGCUUAAGUGCCAUAACGAGCGCAACCCUUAUCUUUAGUUACUAACAGGUCAUGCUGAGGACUCUAGAGAGACUGCCGUCGUAAGAUGUGAGGAAGGUGGGGAUGACGUCAAAUCAGCACGGCCCUUACGUCCGGGGCUACACACGUGUUACAAUGGGGGGUACAGAAGGCGGCUACCUGGUGACAGGAUGCUAAUCCCAAAAACCUCUCUCAGUUCGGAUCGAAGUCUGCAACCCGACUUCGUGAAGCUGGAUUCGCUAGUAAUCGCGCAUCAGCCAUGGCGCGGUGAAUACGUUCCCGGGCCUUGUACACACCGCCCGUCAAGCCAUGAAAGCCGGGGGUACCUGAAGUACGUAACCGCAAGGAGCGUCCUAGGGUAAAACUGGUAAUUGGGGCUAAGUCGUAACAAGGUAGCCGUACCGGAAGGUGCGGCUGGAACACCUCCUUUCUG
rnacentral:rRNA from 1 species